GAUAAAGAAAGGAAUUAAACCAAUGUUUACAGGACUACAGCCUGCCGCCUAUCAUUCGGCCACUUUACC
rnacentral:tRNA from 1 species